rnacentral:rRNA from 1 species
ACGCGCGGAACCUUACCAGGUCUUGACAUCCCAUUGACCGCUAUGGAGACAUAGCUUUCCCUUCGGGGACAGUGGUGACAGGUGGUGCAUGGUUGUCGUCAGCUCGUGUCGUGAGAUGUUGGGUUAAGUCCCGCAACGAGCGCAACCCUUGAUCUUAGUUGCCAGCAUUCAGUUGGGCACUCUAAGGUGACUGCCGGUGACAAACCGGAGGAAGGUGGGGAUGACGUCAAAUCAUCAUGCCCCUUAUGACCUGGGCUACACACGUGCUACAAUGGAUGGUACAAAGGGCUGCAAGACCGCGAGGUUUAGCCAAUCCCAUAAAACCAUUCUCAGUUCGGAUUGCAGGCUGCAACUCGCCUGCAUGAAGCUGGAAUCGCUAGUAAUCGCGGAUCAGCAUGCCGCGGUGAAUACGUUCCCGGGCCUUGCACACACCGCCCGU